CCAGACUCCUACGGGAGGCAGCAGUGGGGAAUAUUGGACAAUGGGGGGAACCCUGAUCCAGCGACGCCGCGUGAGUGAAGAAGUAUUUCGGUAUGUAAAGCUCUAUCAGCAGGGAAGAAAGAAAUGACGGUACCUGACUAAGAAGCCCCGGCUAACUACGUGCCAGCAGCCGCGGUAAUACGUAGGGGGCAAGCGUUAUCCGGAUUUACUGGGUGUAAAGGGAGCGUAGACGGCAGCGCAAGUCUGGAGUGAAAUGCCGGGGCCCAACCCCGGAACUGCUCUGGAAACUGUGAAGCUGGAGUGCAGGAGAGGUAAGCGGAAUUCCUGGUGUAGCGGUGAAAUGCGUAGAUAUCAGGAGGAACACCGGCGGCGAAGGCGGCUUACUGGACUGUAACUGACGUUGAGGCACGAAAGUGUGGGGAGCAAACAGGAUUAGAUACCCGGGUAAG
rnacentral:rRNA from 1 species